CAUGCCGCGUGUGUGAAGAAGGCCUUCGGGUUGUAAAGCACUUUCAGUGGUGAGGAAGGGGAGUACGUUAAUAGCGUGCUUCAUUGACGUUAGCCACAGAAGAAGCACCGGCUAACUCCGUGCCAGCACCCGCGGUGACUGAGCGGGCUGGCAAGGCGCAUA
rnacentral:rRNA from 1 species